rnacentral:rRNA from 1 species
GACGAACGCUGGCGGCGUGCCUAAUACAUGCAAGUGGGACGCAAGAGGACACACUGUGCUUGCACACCGUGUUUUCUUGAGUCGCGAACGGGUGAGUAACGCGUAGGUAACCUGCCUAUUAGCGGGGGAUAACUAUCGGAAACGAUAGCUAAUACCGCAUAAUAUUAAUUAUUGCAUGAUAAUUGAUUGAAAGAUGCAAGCGCAUCACUAGUAGAUGGACCUGCGUUGUAUUAGCUAGUUGGUAAGGUAAGAGCUUACCAAGGCGACGAUACAUAGCCGACCUGAGAGGGUGAUCGGCCACACUGGGACUGAGACACGGCCCAGACUCCUACGGGAGGCAGCAGAGGGAAUCUUCGGCAAUGGACGAAAGUCUGACCGAGCAACGCCGCGUGAGUGAAGAAGGUUUUCGGAUCGUAAAGCUCUGUUGUAAGUCAAGAACGUGUGGAGAGGGAAAGUUCACACA